AGUCACGAGUUUGAUCAUGGCUCAGAGCGAACGCUAGCGGCGGGCUUUAACACAUGCAAGUCGAGCGGAGAGCUUCGGCUCUCAGCGGCGAACGGGUGAGUAACACGUAGGUCACGUACCCUUUGAUGGGGAAUAACCUAGGGAAACCUGGGCUAAUACCGCAUAUGUCCUUCGGGAUGAAAGCCUUCGGGCGUCAGAGGAUCGGCCUGCGGCCCAUUAUUUAAUCCUAGUUGGUAGGGUAAUGGCCUCCAAGGGUACGAUGGGUAGCUGGUCUGAGAGGAUGAUCAGCCACACUGGAACUGAGACACGGUUCAGACUCCUACGGGAGGCAGCAGUGGGGAAUAUUGGACAAUGGGCGAAAGCCUGAUCCAGCCACGCCGCGUGGGUGAUGAAGGCCUUCGGGUUGUAAAGCCCUGUCGGGAGGGACGAAUCAAUGACGGUACCUCCCAAGAAAGCACCGGCUAACUCCGUG
rnacentral:rRNA from 1 species